AGAGCGAACGCUGGCGGCAUGCUUAACACAUGCAAGUCGCACGGUCGGAGCAAUCCGGCAGUGGCGGACGGGUGAGUAACGCGUAGGUAUCUAUCCUUGGGUGGGGGAUAACGCCGGGAAACUGGUGCUAAUACCGCAUGACGACUGAGGUCCAAAGGAGCAAUUCGCUUCAGGAGGGGGUCGCGGCCGAUUAGCUAGUUGGCGGGGUAAUGGCCCACCAAGGCAAUGAUCGGUA
rnacentral:rRNA from 1 species